CAGGACUCGCAAGACUCCCGUAACCACUGUGAACCUUACCACUCUGUUGCCUCGGCGGGUGCUCCCUCCCCCCGCGGGAGGGCGCGCACGCCCGCCGACGGCCCACAACUCGCUGUCUGAUCUUUGCAUCUCCGAGUACCACACAAACGAAUCA
rnacentral:misc_RNA from 1 species